AAUGGCAGGUCAGCAUACUGCCGUGAAUACGUUCCCGGGCCUUGUACACACCGCCCGUCACACCAUGAGAGUUGGGAAUACCCGAAGCCUGUGAGCUAACUUAUAGAGGCAGCAGUCGAAGGUAGAAUCAAUGAUUGGGGUGAAGUCGUAACAAGGUAUC
rnacentral:rRNA from 1 species